rfam:Xanthomonadaceae bacterium SCN 69-48 ABS98_C0233, whole genome shotgun sequence.
CGAUGAACGCCCACCUCGCCACGCGCCACGCUGACACUGCCCGGAUGGCCUCCGGCAUGACCUCGCGCGCGCGCCGACCGGAACCCUCACAUCCCGCUGGGUAAUCCGGACGCGUCCUCGUGCU